GCCGCGGUAAAACCAGCACCUCAAGUGGUCAGGAGGAUUAUUGGGCCUAAAGCAUCCGUAGCCGGCUCUGUAAGUUUUCGGUUAAAUCCAUGUGCUCAACGCAUGGGCUGUCGAAAAUACUGCAUAGCUAGGGAGUGGGAGAGGUAGACGGUACUCGGUAGGAAGGGGUAAAAUCCUUUGAUCUAUCGAUGACCACCUGUGGCGAAGGCGGUCUACCAGAACACGUUCGACGGUGAGGGAUGAAAGCUGGGGGAGCAAACCGGAUUAGAUACCCGGGUAGUCCCAGCUGUAAACGAUGCAGACUCGAUGAUGCAUUGGCAUAUAGCCAGUGCAGUGUCGCAGGGAAGCCGUUAAGUCUGCCGCCUGGGAAGUACGUACGCAAGUAUGAAACUUAAAGGAAUUGGCGGGGGAGCACGGUCAUAGUUGGUUUCCUGA
rnacentral:rRNA from 1 species